rnacentral:rRNA from 1 species
UACGUAGGGUGCGAGCGUUGUCCGGAAUUAUUGGGCGUAAAGAGCUUGUAGGUGGCUCGUUGCGUCGGGAGUGAAAACCUGCGGCUUAACCGCAGGCCUGCUUCCGAUACGGGCGGAGCUAGAGUUCGGCAGGGGAGACUGGAAUUCCUGGUGUAGCGGUGGAAUGCGCAGAGUAUCAGGAGGAACACCGGUGGCGAAGGCGGGUCUCUGGGCCGAUACUGACACUGAGAAGCGAAAGCGUGGGGAGCGAACAGG